UACGGAGGGGGUUAGCGUUGUUCGGAAUUACUGGGCUUAAAGGGUGCGUAGGCGGCCCGUUAAGUCAGCGGUGAAAUCCCAGGGCUCAACCCUGGAACUGCCGUUGAUACUGACGGGCUUGAGUUCGGUCGAGGCGGGCGGAACUGGUGGUGUAGCGGUGAAAUGCUUAGAUACCACCAAGAACCCCGAUUGCGUAGGCAGCUCGCUGGGCCGAAACUGACGCUGAGGCACGAAAGCGUGGGGAGCGAACAGG
rnacentral:misc_RNA from 1 species